rnacentral:rRNA from 1 species
GACGAACGCUGGCGGCGUGCUUAACACAUGCAAGUCGAACGGAAAGGCCCGGCUUUUGUGGGGGGCUCGAGUGGCGAAGGGGUGAUUAACCCGUGAGUACCCUGCCCUUGCCUUUGGGAUACCUUCAGGAAACUGGGGCUAAUACCGGAUAGGAGCCCCUCCUGCAUGGUGGGGGUUGGAAGGUUUCGGCGGUUGGGGAUGGACUCGCGGCUUAUCAGCUUGUUGGUGGGGUAGUGGCUUACCAAGGCUUUGACGGGUAGCCGGCCUGAGAGGGUGACCGGCCACAUUGGGACUGAGAUACGGCCCAGACUCCUACGGGAGGCAGCAGUGGGGAAUAUUGCACAAUGGGCGGAAGCCUGAUGCAGCAACGCCGCGUGCGGGAUGACGGCCUUCGGGUUGUAAACCGCUUUCGCCUGUGACGAAGCGUGAGUGACGGUAAUGGGUAAAGAAGCACCGGCUAACUACGUG